AACGAACGCUGGCGGCAGGCCUAACACAUGCAAGUCGAGCGGACAUCUUCGGAUGUUAGCGGCGGACGGGUGCGUAACGCGUGGGAACGUGCCCUUUGCUUCGGAAUAGCCUCGGGAAACUGGGAGUAAUACCGGAUGUACCCUUUGGGGGAAAGAUUUAUCGGCAAAGGAUCGGCCCGCGUUGGAUUAGGUAGUUGGUGGGGUAAUGGCCUACCAAGCCGCCGAUCCAUAGCUGGGUUGAGAGGAUGAUCAGCCACACUGGGACUGAGACACGGCCCAGACUCCUACGGGAGGCAGCAGUGGGGAAUCUUAGACAAUGGGGGAAACCCUGAUCUAGCCAUGCCGCGUGAGCGAUGAAGGCCUUAGGGUUGUAAAGCUCUUUCACCGGGGAAGAUAAUGACGGUACCCGGAGAAGAAGCCCCGGCUAACUCCGUG
rnacentral:rRNA from 1 species